rnacentral:rRNA from 1 species
GACGAACGCUGGCGGCGUGCUUAACACAUGCAAGUCGAACGGAAAGGCCCCCUUGUGGGGUACUCGAGUGGCGAACGGGUGAGUAACACGUGAGUAACCUACCCUUGACUUUGGGAUAACUUCAGGAAACUGGGGCUAAUACCGGAUAGGAGCUCCUGCUGCAUGGUGGGGGUUGGAAAGUUUCGGCGGUUGGGGAUGGACUCGCGGCUUAUCAGCUUGUUGGUGGGGUAGUGGCUCACCAAGGCUUUGACGGGUAGCCGGCCUGAGAGGGGGACCGGCCACAUUGGGACUGAGAUACGGCCCAGACUCCUACGGGAGGCAGCAGUGGGGAAUAUUGCACAAUGGGCGGAAGCCUGAUGCAGCAACGCCGCGUGCGGGAUGACGGCCUUCGGGUUGUAAACCGCUUUCGCCUGUGACGAAGCGUGAGUGACGGUAAUGGGUAAAGAAGCACCGGCUAACUACGUG